rnacentral:misc_RNA from 1 species
AAGUCGUAACAAGGUUUCCGUAGGUGAACCUGCGGAAGGAUCAUUAAAAAAAUUGAGGUAUUUUAUAUACCUCUCGUAUUUAAAACCCUACUCUUUAAAUAUAAAUUUUAUUUAAAAAAAAAAAACUUUCAACAAUGGAUCUCUUGGCUCUC